AGUGAACGCUGGCGGUAGGCCUAACACAUGCAAGUCGAACGGCAGCACAGUAAGAGCUUGCUCUUACGGGUGGCGAGUGGCGGACGGGUGAGGAAUACAUCGGAAUCUACUUUUUCGUGGGGGAUAACGUAGGGAAACUUACGCUAAUACCGCAUACGACCUACGGGUGAAAGCAGUGGAUCUUAGGACCUUGCGCGAUUGAAUGAGCCGAUGUCGGAUUAGCUAGUUGGCGGGGUAAAGGCCCACCAAGGCGACGAUCCGUAGCUGGUCUGAGAGGAUGAUCAGCCACACUGGAACUGAGACACGGUCCAGACUCCUACGGGAGGCAGCAGUGGGGAAUAUUGGACAAUGGGCGCAAGCCUGAUCCAGCCAUACUGCGUGGGUGAAGAAGGCCUUCGGGUUGUAAAGCCCUUUUGUUGGGAAAGAAAAGCAGCAGGUUAAUACCCCGCUGUUCUGACGGUACCCAAAGAAUAAGCACCGGCUAACUUCGUG
rnacentral:rRNA from 1 species